rnacentral:rRNA from 1 species
UACAGAGGGUGCGAGCGUUGUCCGGAAUCACUGGGCGUAAAGGGCGCGUAGGUGGUGGCUUAAGCGUGCGGUGAAAGCUCGGAGCUCAGCUCCGAGUCGGCCGUGCGAACUGGGCUCACUGGAGCAUAGUAGAGGCAGGUGGAAUUCCGGGUGUAGCGGUGGAAUGCGUAGAGAUCCGGAAGAACACCGGUGGCGAAGGCGGCCUGCUGGGCUAUGGCUGACACUGAGGCGCGACAGCGUGGGGAGCAAACAGG